rnacentral:rRNA from 1 species
CACGGGGGGAGCAAGCGUUGUUCGGAAUCACUGGGCGUAAAGGGUGUCUAGGCGGUCAGGUAAGUGAGAUGUGAAAUGCCCCCGGCUUACCCGGGGACCGGCAUCUCAUACUGUCUGGCUUGAGUAUGGGAGAGGAAGGUGGAAUGCUUGGUGUAGAGGUGAAAUUCGUAGAUAUCAAGCGGAACACCGGUGGCGAAGGCGGCUUUCUGGACAGUGACUGACGCUGAGACGCGAAAGCGUGGGGAGCAAACAGG